rnacentral:rRNA from 1 species
GUGCCAGCCGCCGCGGUAAUACGGAGGGUGCAAGCGUUAUUCGGAAUUACUGGGCGUAAAGCGCGUGUAGGCGGUCCUGCAAGUCUGAUGUGAAAGCCCCGGGCUUAACCCGGGAAGUGCAUUGGAAACUGCAGGUCUUGAGUACUGGAGAGGAUGGGGGAAUUCCCGGUGUAGAGGUGAAAUUCGUAGAGAUCGGGAGGAAUAUCAGUGGCGAAGGCGCCCAUCUGGACGGUAACUGACGCUGAGACGCGAAAGCGUGGGGAGCAAACAGGAUUAGAAACCCCCGUAGUCC